rnacentral:rRNA from 1 species
UAACUCUAGCCCAAACCCCUAUUAAAUAUACUACUUAAUUAUACUAACUAAAUCAUUUACCUAUCACAAAAGUAUAGGCGAUAGAAAUUACAUCUCAGGCGCAAUAGAAAAAGUACCGCAAGGGAAAGAACAAAAAACAAUAGAGCACAGAAAAGCAAAGACAAACCCUUAUACCUUUUGCAUAAUGAAUUAACUAGAAAUAACCUUAUAAAGAGAACUCAAACAAUGUCCCCCGAAACCAAACGAGCUACCUAAAGAUAGCCAUGAGAGCAAACCCAUCUAUGUGGCAAAAUAGUGGGAAAAUCUAUAGGUAGUGGCGACAAACCUAUCGAGCUUGGUGAUAGCUGGUUAUCCAAGAUAGAAUCUUAGUUCAACUUUAAAUUUACCCAUAGAACUAGACAAUCUUAAUGUAAAUUUAACUGUUAGUCUAAAGAGGGACAGCUCUUCAGACUCUAGGAAACAACCUUCCAUAGAGAGUAAAUAACUUAAUUAUCAUAGUUGGCCUAAAAGCAGCCACCUAUUAAGAAAGCGUUCAAGCUCAAUGUACAAUUAACCUUAAUUCUAAUAACCUAACUGAACUCCUAAAAUAAAUUGGAUUAAUCUAUAAUUUAAUAGAAGGAACAAUGUUAAUAUAAGUAACAUGAAAUUAUUCUCUCUGCAUAAGCUUAUAUCAGAUCGAAACAACUACUGUUAGUUAACAGCCCAAUUAUCAAAUACUACAAAUUAGUCCCCAAUUAAUCAAACUGUUAACCCAACACAGGCAUGCACCAUGAGAAAGAUUAAAAGAAGUAAAAGGAACUCGGCAAA